rnacentral:lncRNA from 1 species
GUGCGUUAUUUAUCCCAAAAGAGGGAAAGGAAACGCUCGAAGUAAACCUGGAAAGAACAUGGUCUCGCGACCAAAGAGGAUGGGUUCGGGAGUCGGUUAUGCGAAGAAGAGCCGCCACCGUGCGUUAUUUAUCCCAAAAGAGGGAAAGGAAACGCUCGAAGUAAACCUGGAAAGAACAUGGUCUCGCGACCAAAGAGGAUGGGUUCGGGAGUCGGUUAUGCGAAGGGAAGGUAUCAG